UUUAUACCGUGAAACUGCGAAUGGCUCAUUAAAUCAGUUAUCGUUUAUUUGAUAGUACCUUACUACUUGGAUAACCGUGGUAAUUCUAGAGCUAAUACAUGCUAAAAACCCUGACUCACGAAAGGGUGUAUUUAUUAGAUAAAAAACCAAUGCCCUUCGGGGCUCCCUGGUGAUUCAUAAUAACUUAACGAAUCGCAUGGCCUUGUGCCGGCGAUGGUUCAUUCAAAUUUCUGCCCUAUCAACUUUCGAUGUUACUGUAUUGGAGUAACAUGGUUUCAACGGGUAACGGGGAAUUAGGGGUAAGUUAUUCCAAACUCAAUUACUGAAGAGAUAUAUACUAACAUUAAAAUUAGUUCUAUUCCGGAGAAGGAGCCUGAGAGACGGCUACUACAUCCAAGGAAGGCAGCAGGCGCGCAAAUUACCCAAUCCCGACACGGGGAGGUAGUGACAAUAAAUACUGAUACAGGGCUCUUUUGGGUCUUGUAAUUGGAAUGAGUACAAUUUAAAUCUCUUAACGAGGAACAAUUGGAGGGCAAGUCUGGUGCCAGCAGCCGCGGUAAUUCCAGCUCCAAUAGCGUAUAUUAAAGUUGUUGCAGUUAAAAAGCUCGUAGUUGAACCUUGGGCCUGGCUGGCCGGUCCGCCUCACCGCGUGCACUGGUCCGGCCGGGUCUUUCCUUCUGGGGAACCUCAUGCCCUUCACUGGGUGUGUUGGGGAACCAGGACUUUUACUUUGAAAAAAUUAGAGUGUUCAAAGCAGGCCUAUGCUCGAAUACAUUAGCAUGGAAUAAUAAAACAGGACGUUACGGUUCUAUUUUGUUGGUUUCUAGGACCGUCGUAAUGAUUAAUAGGGUCAGUCGGGGGAGUCAGUAUUGAGAUGCUAGAGGUGAAAUUCUUGGAUUUUCUCAAGACUAACUACUGCGAAAGCAUUCUCCAAGGAUGUUUUCAUUAAUCAGUGAACGAAAGUUAGGGGAUCGAAGACGAUCAGAUACCGUCGUAGUCUUAACCAUAAACUAUGCCGACUAGGGAUCGGGCGAUGUUAUCUUUUUGACUCGCUCGGCACCUUACGAGAAAUCAAAGUCUUU
rnacentral:rRNA from 1 species